rnacentral:rRNA from 1 species
CCUACGGGAGGCAGCAGUGAGGAAUAUUGGUCAAUGGUCGGGAGACUGAACCAGCCAAGCCGCGUGAGGGAUGAAGGUACAGAGUAUCGUAAACCUCUUUUGUCAGGGAACAAAGGCGGGGACGUGUCCCCGGAUGAGUGUACCUGACGAAAAAGCAUCGGCUAACUCCGUGCCAGCAGCCGCGGUAAUCCGGAGGAUGCGAGCGUUAUCCGGUUGUAUUGGGUUUAAAGGGUGCGCAGGCGGUCUGUCAAGUCAGCGGGCAAAGCCCGGGGCUCAACCGCUGCCCGCCGUUGAAACUGGCAGUCUCGAGUUGGAGAGAAGUAUGCGGAAUGCGCGGUGUAGCGUUGAAAUGCAUAGAUAUCGCGCAGAACUCAGAUUGCGAAGGCAGCAUGCCGGCUCCACACUGACGCUGAGGCACGAAAGCGUGGGUAUCGAACAGGAUUAGAUACCCGGGUAGUC